rnacentral:rRNA from 1 species
AUUGAACGCUGGCGGAAUGCUUAACACAUGCAAGUCGAGCGGGGUGUAGCAAUACACCUAGCGGCGGACGGGUGAGGAAUACAUAGGAAUCUGCCUCAGAGCGGGGGACAGCCCGGGGAAACCCGGGAUUAAUACCGCAUGAUGUCGCAAGACCAAAGUGGGGACCGCAAGGCCCCACACUCUGAGAUGAGCCUAUGUCCGAUUAGCUAGUUGGCGGGGUAAUAGCCCACCAAGGCGGCGAUCGGUAGCUGGUCUGAGAGGACGAUCAGCCACACCGGAACUGAGACACGGUCCGGACUCCUACGGGAGGCAGCAGUGGGGAAUAUUGGACAAUGGGCGCAAGCCUGAUCCAGCAAUUCCGCGUGGGUGAAGAAGGCCUGGUUGUAAG